rnacentral:misc_RNA from 1 species
GGAACCGCUAAUCUUGUUCAGAAGGUAAUCUUUUGUUCUAUUUAUCAGUCCCCCUCUCCUUUUAGUAGUUGGGAAACAUGAAAGAAAAGAGAUCUGUUAAGUUUGUUUGGUUAUGCUUGUACCUCAACUUUUUUUGUAGUAUAUAACAGUCUCAGUUAAGAGGAAUUCUUUGUUUCUUUAGAUUCCUCAUGGCAAUUUAUUGAUUUCUUUUGUCUUUCCCCCUUCAACUUGGCUGAGAAAAGUGCCUUUAGCUAUGUUUAGUCAAGUUGUAAAUUAUAAAGUUUGUUGAGAACUUUGAAAUUUUGAUCAGGAUUCUUUUAUAUCCAUAUAUGCUUUAAUCUAUUUGGUGAAAUGGGUUCUGUAGAACUGUUCACUGUCUGAAAAUAUACCAAUUAAAAUGGUAUAAUUUGGUACAAUCUUCCAUGCAUUUUUCAUUGUAAUAAUAUUCUCAUGUGUGUGUGUUUUGCAGUGGUUAUCGUGGAAGUGGUCCUAUUUUAUAGGCUGCCUGUUUACAUUUAUUGCAGGAUUUAACUUCAUUAGUUGUACUUUAUCCUUAGAUGAUUAUCUUCUAAUGUUAAGUGAUGCUUUUGCGCCCUUUUAUUUCUGUAGUGCAAGUUUUGUGGGAGGGAG